rnacentral:misc_RNA from 1 species
UGACUAAGACAACAGUGAUCAGAUA